rnacentral:rRNA from 1 species
AUGCAGUCGAGCGAGAACAUCCCCUUCGGGGGAUGAGUAAAGCGGCGAACGGGCGAGUAACACGUGAGUAAUCUGCCCUUGGGUUCGGGAUAACACCUCGAAAGGGGUGCUAAUACCGGAUAAGACCACGGGGUCGCAUGGCCCUGGGGGAAAAGGUGGCCUCUCCAUGGAAGCUGUCGCCUGGGGAUGAGCUCGCCGGACCAUUAGCUUGUUGGUGGGGUAACGGCCUACCAAGGCGAUGAUGGUUAGCCGGCCUGAGAGGGUGAACGGCCACACUGGAACUGAGACACGGUCCAGACUCCUACGGGAGGCAGCAGUGGGGAAUAUUGCGCAAUGGGGGAAACCCUGACGCAGCAACGCCGCGUGAGUGACGAAGUCUUUCGGGAUGUAAAGCUCUGUCAGAUGGGAAGAAAAGCAUGACGGUUAAUACCCGUUGAGCCUGACGGUACCAUCAGAGGAAGCCCCGGCUAACUCCGUGCCAGCAGCCGCGGUAAGACGGAGGGGGCAAGCGUUGUUCGGAAUUAUUGGGCGUAAAGGGCGCGUAGGCGGUUUGGCAAGUCGAAUGUGAAAGCCCCUGGCUCAACCUGUGAAUGGCAUUCGAAACUGCCAGACUUGAGUGCGGGAGAGGAGAGUGGAAUUCCCAGUGUAGCGGUGAAAUGCGUAGAUAUCGGGAAGAACACCGGUGGCGAAGGCGGCUCUCUGGACCGUUACUGACGCUGAGACGCGAAAGCUAGGGGAGCGAACGGGAUUAGAUACCCCGGUAGUCCUAGCCCUAAACGAUGGGCACUAGGUGUAGGAGGUGUCGACCCCCCCUGUGCCGAAGCUAACGCAUUAAGUGCCCCGCCUGGGGAGUAUGGUCGCAAGGCUGAAACUCAAAGGAAUUGACGGGGGCCCGCACAAGCGGUGGAGCAUGUGGUUUAAUUCGACGCAACGCGAAGAACCUUACCUGGGCUUGACAUGGGUUCGAUAGGUACAGAGAUGUGCCCUCCUUUCGGGGCGGAUCCACAGGUGCUGCAUGGCUGUCGUCAGCUCGUGUCGUGAGAUGUUGGGUUAAGUCCCGCAACGAGCGCAACCCUUACCCUUAGUUGCCAGCGGGUUAUGCCGGGAACUCUAAGGGAACUGCCAGUGAUAAACUGGAGGAAGGUGGGGAUGACGUCAAGUCCUCAUGGCCCUUAUGUCCAGGGCUACACACGUGCUACAAUGGCCCGUACAAAGGGUUGCGAACCCGCGAGGGGGAGCCAAUCCCAAAAAACGGGUCUCAGUUCGGAUUGGAGUCUGCAACCCGACUCCAUGAAGGCGGAAUCGCUAGUAAUCGUGGAUCAGCAUGCCACGGUGAAUACGUUCCCGGGCCUUGUACACACCGCCCGUCACACCACGAAAGCCAAUUGUACCCGAAGUCGCUGAGCUAACCCUUUCGGGGGAGG